rnacentral:tRNA from 1 species
GCGUCGGUGGUUCAGUGGUUGAAUACUCGCCUGCCACGCGGGUGACCCGGGUUCAAUUCCCGGCCGACACA